rnacentral:rRNA from 1 species
UACGAAGGGGGCUAGCGUUGUUCGGAAUCACUGGGCGUAAAGGGCGCGUAGGCGGCCGAUCAAGUCGGGGGUGAAAGCCUGUGGCUCAACCACAGAAUUGCCUUCGAUACUGUUUGGCUUGAGACCGGAAGAGGUAAGUGGAACUGCGAGUGUAGAGGUGAAAUUCGUAGAUAUUCGCAAGAACACCAGUGGCGAAGGCGGCUUGCUGGUCCGGUUCUGACGCUGAGGCGCGAAAGCGUGGGGAGCAAACAGG